CUGCACUUUCCUUAAACUUAUAACUAGUUCAGUUCUGAGAGCAGUGUGUCUCUAUCACAUAAAAGCAAUUCAGUCAGCCCACAGAUGAGAAAAAACCAUUGGUUCAAAUAGGAUUACAAUUGGUGUUGCCCAGCAACUGGCAAUUCGAAUUAUCACUCCCAUCAGCUUGUCAGUCAGUUAUUAGCCAGUCAGUCUUUGAACAAGGAAGUAGUGCUUCUUCGCAUUCUCUUCCAAACAUUCAUGUAGUUGGAAAACUGUCACUCUAGUUAAUAAUAAUAAUAAUAAUAGUAAUAUUAGAAGCAAUAAGUUGUUCUAAGUGGAGUGAGAAGAGGAGACAAAAUGCCACCUUUUGACCUGAAAGGCUGUGAUAUAACCAACAAACCAAAGGUUUAUGAAGUAAUAAUAAUUGGAUUUCACUGGAGUUGGUAGGGUUUCAU